AGCUAUCCCGAGGGACAAAUUCACAGUUACUCCCCAUACCCGAGUAUGUAGUCGGCGUUUUAACAAGGAGGAUGUUCGUGAGCCCCGUAUCAGAGACGGGGAGGCGGCUAUUAAACAAGGGAGCUGUCCCAGCACUGUUUGACCCUUCCCACUUCACGAGCGGAGGAUGACGGCGACGCAGGCGAGAAAGCUGCUAUUCCUAUGGACCACUACGCUUCGGCUUCAGAUCCUGCAGUUGUUGAUUCAGCCCUUGAUGACAACAUGUCUCUCAGAGAUGAGAUUCUCAAGCUUCAUCGUUUUGCUGCUUCAGACAAGGACAUACGUUUUUUUCACAAGAUUUGCAUCCUAUGACCUGCUGAUGAGAUUUCUGGGCCUUAAUAGAGCCCAUCACUGCCAAAUACGGUCAGUGUGACACAAGCACAGAGAGGCACCUUUACAGAGACAAGUUCCACUGUAACUCGUUUCCUGCAGCCCAUUGAUGAGAUGUUCAUGUUUCUCAAUUACCUGGCACUGGGUUCAAAACAGCGUGAUCUUGCUGACCGGUAUGGGGUCCACCCAGUCCACAGUCAGUCAGAUCAUUACAACGUGGAGCAACUUUCUGUACACUGUGCUAGGGUCUGUGAGGAUCUGGAUACCAGCUGAAUUGAAGGACUAUGCAGACACUACAGUCAUCCUGGACUGCACAGAGCUAAGGUGCCAGUGCCCUUCAUCACCUCUUCUCCAAAGUGAAAUGUUCUCAGCAUACAAGUCCCACUGUACUCUCAAAGGGCUGCUUGGAGUGGCUCCUCAUGGGGCGGUCACAUUGAUUUCUCAACUGUACGCUGGUUCCAUCAGUGACAAACAGAUCACGCGAGAGUCUGGAAUUCUCUCCCUUUUUGAGACCAGUGAUGGCCAUCAUGGUUGACUGAGGUUUUCUGGUUGAUGACCUUGUACCUUGCAAGAUUUAUAGGCCAGCAUUUCUCUCUGGAAGAUCGCAGAUGUCUGCCUGUGAGGUCAGGGAGACCCAAGUGAUUGCACGCCUCAGGGUGCAUGUUGAGCGCCUCAUACGGCGUGUUAAGAAGCACAAGUUCUUUGACACAGAGAUUCCACUUCGGCUUUUUGGCAACAUUAAUCAGCUGUAUACUGUUGCAUGUCUCCUGACGAAGUAUGAAAACGGGCCUCUUGUAAAGGCUUGGGCAAAGGAGCCAGAGUAGCAGUAGUAGAAAAAAAAUAAAAAUUAAUAACCUAUGACCAUUUGUAUAACUACUUUCUUUAAA